rnacentral:tRNA from 1 species
GAAAAAGAUGGAAUGUGAAAUUUUUUUUUUUUUUUAAAACAAAGAAGACUAAAAAAAAGUGCUGAAUUUUUUUUCUUUUU